rnacentral:rRNA from 1 species
UACGUAGGGGGCAAGCGUUGUCCGGAUUUAUUGGGCGUAAAGAGCGUGUAGGCGGCUAGAUAGGUCCGUUGUGAAAACUCGAGGCUCAACCUCGAGACGUCGAUGGAAACCAUCUGGCUAGAGUCCGGAAGAGGAGAGUGGAAUUCCUGGUGUAGCGGUGAAAUGCGCAGAUAGUCAGGAAGAACACCCGUGGCGAAGGCGGCUCUCUGGAACGGUACUGACGGCUGAUGCACGAAAGCUAGGGGAGCAAACAGG